CACCAGGCGCGAAAACUUUACAAUGCUGGAAACAGCGAUAAGGGGACCUCGAGUGCCAGGUUACAAAUCUGGCUGUCGUGAUGCCUAAAAAGCAUUGCAUAGCAAGGGCCGGGCAAGACCGGUGCCAGCCGCCGCGGUAACACCGGCGGCUCGAGUGGUAACCGUUAUUAUUGGGUCUAAAGGGUCUGUAGCCGGCCGGGUAAGUCUCUUGGGAAAUCUGGCAGCUUAACUGUCAGGCUUUCAGGAGAUACUGCCUGGCUCGAGGCCGGGAGAGGUGAGAGGUACUUCAGGGGUAGGGGUGAAAUCUUGUAAUCCUUGAAGGACCACCAGUGGCGAAGGCGUCUCACCAGAACGGACCUGACGGCAAGGGACGAAAGCUAGGGGCACGAACCGGAUUAGAUACCCGGGUAGUCCUAGCCGUAAACGAUACUCGCUAGGUGUCGGCCACGGUGCGACCGUGGUCGGUGCCGUAGGGAAGCCGUGAAGCGAGCCACCUGGGAAGUACGGCCGCAAGGCUGAAACUUAAAGGAAUUGGCGGGGGAGCACAAGGGCGAAUGCGG
rnacentral:rRNA from 1 species